AUGGUCGAGCGCCAGGCGCAAGUCCAGGUGUUGCGCACCCUUGGGAUCGUUGGCACCAACCAGAAGAUCAUCGCCACAGAAAUGAAGGCCUAUGAUGACGUGUUUGCAACAUCGAUCCCACUUGCCGUGCUCUCUGCCAUUGCGGCAUUGGUUGAUCGCGAACUCCCCGUCGACUCGGCACCCGCGCACGCCAUUGCGACGCCUCUGGGGGCGCGAUCACGGUCCAGCCUUGCGCUCGGACCCCCCGUCGACCUUGUGCUCAUGGAUCACAACCUCAAGAUUGCGAUAUGGAAUGUGCGAGGCCUCAAUGCAUGCGCUAGACGCACCACUGUCCGCUCACUGAUCAUGUCUAGUGGCGCCACCAUUGUCUGUAUUCAAGAAACUAAAAUGGCUUUGAUUUGCUCGUCGGUUGUCCUUGAGGCGCUCGGUUCUGAGUUUGACGAGUAUGUGUACCUGCCGGCGAUAGGCACUUGCGGAGGCAUACUGCUGGCAUGGUAA
rnacentral:rRNA from 1 species